UACAGAGGUCUCAAGCGUUGUUCGGAUUCAUUGGGCGUAAAGGGUGCGUAGGCGGCGCGGUAAGUCGGGUGUGAAAUCUUGGAGCUUAACUCCGAAACUGCAUUCGAUACUGCCGUGCUUGAGGACUGGAGAGGAGACUGGAAUUUACGGUGUAGCGGUGAAAUGCGUAGAUAUCGUAAGGAAGACCAGUGGCGAAGGCGGCCAACUGGACGAGUACUGACGCUGAGACACGAAAAGCGUGGGGGAGCAAACAGG
rnacentral:rRNA from 1 species